CCUCGCUUACGUCUCACGCCGCGUACUUUUCAGCCUGGCUGUACGUCAAGCGGCCGCUCGUGGCUGCCGGUGGCGUCCACAGUACAGUCUGCGCGCGUCGCUCCACGGCGGCGCUUCCGGAAAAAUCACUUUCGCCGUGCGAUAACUUCGCAUCGCGGGCACGAAUACGGAUACUAUAUACACCAAAUCGGGUCAACUUUUUUUUCUCUACAAUUUUCUUAUCACGCCCCUGGCGCAAUAUUGCGAUUUAACGGCUCGAUACGCGACUUCCCCAUGCGAGCCGCGCGAAAGUUUUCCUGCCGACUGUACGAGCGUUGGAUGUAUAUUAAAAUCGCAAAUUUUACGUUGGAACACAUGUAGCGGAUAUCUUUUCAUUCAAGGGAGCCAGGCAAGUUCAUGGUCGCUAUUUUCGGCAGAGAGGAGAGAGUAGGAUCGAAGCGGUGGCGAAAGUAGUGGAGCCGGGAGGAGUCAGCCGCAGCGAAGUAAAGAGAUGAACGUCGGAAAUUACAACUCUGCUUUGCACAUCUAUUGAAUCGCUACAAUUUUGCCAGAACGCAACCGGUUUCGUUGAAGCACGGCGGGAACACACACAACCAGAAUCCAGUGUUGCCAACCAUUAUAAAAAUUUCCCCCCCAAAGAACAGUCAAAAUUCCACCCAAAAACUCCUAAAAAUGUGUUUUUGAUAAUAAAAUGUCAAUCUAAUAUUUUCCCCCUGAAAUCGUCAACGGGUUUUACUUGUUUGAUGAUAAAUAAGUAUUUAUUAAAUGAAACAAAUAUAUAUUAAUAUAAAAGUUUUAUUUAUUACUAAUAAAAUUUAGAAUCACAACAGUGAAAAAAAUCUUUUUCAUUAUUAGGUAGAAAUAUCUAAUCAAUAUCAUUUGUUAUGUUUUUUUAUGUGCCACUGGCCUUAAUAAUAUUACCUCCCAAAAAAAAACCCUAGACAUAUUUACCCCCCAAAAAUGCCCCCAAACCCAAACCUAACCUAAAUCUAGGGAGUUAUUUUAAAAUCCUAAAAUCCCUAAGUUGACACCACUGCCGGAAUUGGGCGAACUAUUCGCGACUCUUAUUAACUCUAACUCGCGUUUUUUAAGGACGAGCGUUCUCGUGUACGAAAUACAAUGUAUGAACGAAACGAGCAUCGUCAACAGCUCGGCGCGCCGCUUCGUUUGUUACGCGCGACGAAGAUGGAAUUAAUUCGAAGCCCCCGAGGGGCGGAUUCUCGUGAAUUGCAUCAAGUAUACUGAGGCUUUGUGACCGACGC